rnacentral:rRNA from 1 species
GAUGAACGCUGGCGGCGUGCCUAAUACAUGCAAGUCGAGCGAACAGACGAGGAGCUUGCUCCUCUGACGUUAGCGGCGGACGGGUGAGUAACACGUGGAUAACCUACCUAUAAGACUGGGAUAACUUCGGGAAACCGGAGCUAAUACCGGAUAAUAUAUUGAACCGCAUGGUUCAAUAGUGAAAGACGGUUUUGCUGUCACUUAUAGAUGGAUCCGCGCCGCAUUAGCUAGUUGGUAAGGUAACGGCUUACCAAGGCAACGAUGCGUAGCCGACCUGAGAGGGUGAUCGGCAACACUGGACCUGAGACACGGUCCAGACUCCUACGGGAGGCAGCAGUAGGGAAUCUUCCGCAAUGGGCGAAAGCUUGACGGAGCAACGCCGCGUGAGUGAUGAAGGUCUUCGGAUCGUAAAACUCUGUUAUUAGGGAAGAACAAAUGUGUAAGUAACUAUGCACGUCUUGACGGUACCUAAUCAGAAAGCCACGGCUAACUACGU